AGAGUUUGAUCCUGGCUCAGAACGUACGCUGGCGGCACGCCUAACACAUGCAAGUCGAACGAAGUAGCAAUACUUAGUGGCAGACGGGUGAGUAACAUGUAGGUAUCUACCCUUUGGCCUGGAACAACACGAGGAAACUUGUGCUAAUACCGGAUAAGUCUUUACGGAGAAAGCUUUAUGCACCAUUGGAUGAGCCUGCACUUGAUUAGUUUGUUGGUGGGGUAAUGGCCUACCAAGACUGUGAUCAAUAGCUGAUUUGAGAGGAUGAUCAGCCACAUUGGGACUGAGACACGGCCCAAACUCCUACGGGAGGCAGCAGUGGGGAAUCUUGCACAAUGGAGGAAACUCUGAUGCAGCGAUGCCGCGUGAGUGAAGAAGGCCCUUGGGUUGUAAAGCUCUUUCGUCGGGGAAGAAAAUGACUGUACCCGAAUAAGAAGGUCCGGCUAACUUCGUGCCAGCAGCCGCGGUAAUACGAAGGGACCUAGCGUAGUUCGGAAUUACUGGGCUUAAAGAGUUCGUAGGUGGUUGAAAAAGUUAGUGGUGAAAUCCCAGAGCUUAACUCUGGAACUGCCAUUAAAACUUUUCAGCUAGAGUAUGAUAGAGGAAAGCAGAAUUUCUAGUGUAGAGGUGAAAUUCGUAGAUAUUAGAAAGAAUACCAAUUGCGAAGGCAGCUUUCUGGAUCAUUACUGACACUGAGGAACGAAAGCAUGGGUAAGCGAAGAGGAUUAGAUACCCUCGUAGUCCAUGCCGUAAACGAUGUGUGUUAGACGUUGGAAAUUUAUUUUCAGUGUCGCAGCGAAAGCGAUAAACACACCGCCUGGGGAGUACGACCGCAAGGUUAAAACUCAAAUGAAUUGACGGGGACCCGCACAAGUAGUGGAGCAUGUGGUUUAAUUCGAAGAUACGCGCAGAACCUUACCAACACUUGACAUGUUCGUCGCGACUCUAAGAGAUUAGAGUUUUCGGUUCGGCCGGACGAAACACAGGUGCUGCAUGGCUGUCGUCAGCUCGUGUCGUGAGAUGUUGGGUUAAGUCCCGCAACGAGCGCAACCCUCACUUUUAGUUGCCAUCAUUAAGUUGGGCACUCUGAAAGAACUGCCAGUGAUAAGCUGGAGGAAGGUGGGGAUGACGUCAAGUCCUCAUGGCCCUUACGUGUUGGGCUACACACGUGCUACAAUGGUAUCUACAACAGGAAGCAAGACUGCGAGGUCAAGCAAAUCCUUAAAAGAUACCUCAGUUCGGAUUGCACUCUGCAACUCGAGUGCAUGAAGCUGGAAUUACUAGUAAUCGUGGAUCAGCGUGCCACGGUGAAUGCGUUCCCGGGUCUUGUACACACCGCCCGUCACACCAUGGGAGUUGGUUCUACCUUAAGGCAAGGUUUAAAACCCUUGACCACGGUAUAGUCAGCGACUGGGGUGAAGUCGUAACAAGGUAACC
rnacentral:rRNA from 1 species